rnacentral:rRNA from 1 species
UUCUGGCUCAGAACGAACGCUGGCGGCGUGCUUAACACAUGCAAGUCGAACGCGAAAGGGACUUCGGUCCUGAGUAAAGUGGCGCACGGGUGAGUAACGCGUAGAUAACCUGUCUUCAUGUCUGGAAUAAUACGCCGAAAGGGGUACUAAUACCGGAUAUUCUUGCUUUUCAUAAGUUGUGCAAGCAAAGGUGGCCUCUGCAUAUGCUACUGCAUGAAGAGGGGUCUGCGUACCAUUAGCUAGUAGGUGGGGUAAUGGCCUACCUAGGCGACGAUGGUUAGCGGGUCUGAGAGGAUGAUCCGCCACACUGGCACUGGAACACGGGCCAGACUCCUACGGGAGGCAGCAGUGAGGAAUAUUGCGCAAUGGGGGAAACCCUGACGCAGCGACGCCGCGUGAGUGAGGAAGGCCUUCGGGUCGUAAAGCUCUGUCAAGAGGAAAGAAGUGUACAAUGGCUAAUACCUGUUGUAUUUGACGGUACCUCUAAAGGAAGCACCGGCUAACUCCGUGCCAGCCGCCGC